rnacentral:rRNA from 1 species
GGGUUGUGAGGUUAAGCGACUAAGCGUACACGGUGGAUGCCCUGGCAGUCAGAGGCGAUGAAGGGCGUGCUAAUCUGCGAUAAGCGCCGGUAAGGUGAUAUGAACCGUUAUAACCGGCGAUACCCGAAUGGGGAAACCCAGUGUGACUCGUCACACUAUCAUUAACUGAAUCCAUAGGUUAAUGAGGCGAACCGGGGGAACUGAAACAUCUAAGUACCCCGAGGAAAAGAAAUCAACCGAGA